rnacentral:rRNA from 1 species
GAUCAUGGCUCAGAACGAACGCUGGCGGCAUGCCUAACACAUGCAAGUCGAACGAAGCCUUCGGGCUUAGUGGCGCACGGGUGCGUAACGCGUGGGAAUCUGCCUUGGUUCGGAAUAACAGUUAGAAAUGACUGCUAAUACCGAAUGAUGUCUUCGGACCAAAGAUUUAUCGCCCAAGGAUGAGCCCGCGUCGGAUUAGCUAGUUGGUGAGGUAAAAGGCUCACCAAGGCGACGAUCCGUAGCUGGUCUGAGAGGAUGAUCAGCCACACUGGGACUGAGACACGGCCCAGACUCCUACGGGAGGCAGCAGUGGGGAAUAUUGGACAAUGGGCGAAAGCCUGAUCCAGCAAUGCCGCGUGAGUGAUGAAGGCCUUAGGGUUGUAAAGCUCUUUUACCCGGGAUGAUAAUGACAGUACCGGGAGAAUAAGCCCCGGCUAACUCCGUG